CACUUAUACAACCGAAAGCAUAUUUUAUUGACACACAGAACAGUGAUCGCAUGCCCUGGAGAGCGUUUACACUCUAAUCUCCAAACAUGUACAAGUUUUUCAUCGUGCUUCUUCUUGUCAGCUGCCUUUCAGUGACAUUGCUGCCAGCCACCGUUGAGGCCCAGGAUUACGUACAUGGCCGGGACUGUCAGUGCCGAUGGCGCUGUGGCUUUUUGGAAAUCGACAGGGGGCGCUGUAUAUUCAAUUAUCGCAAGAGACGGUGUUGUAGGAGAACACUAUAUAGAGGCUAGUGAGGUGACGACUGACAAAACAAGCAAACUACAAGUUGUCUUACUCAUUUAUUUUAUGUUUGUGAUGUAAAUAAAGUUUCGUUAUAAUGGA